rnacentral:lncRNA from 1 species
UUCACUGAGAGAACAUAAAUUAUUGUAAUAUGAUAAUUUCAUUUAUCCAAUUGCUUUGUUGUGAUUUCUCUUUCUCUUUCUUUCUUUAAAUACAGUUGCCUUUGCUAUAAAAUCAGAAUGCAUUUUAUGAAUUGAAGGAACUUUAUAUACAUCAUACUGCAAUGCUUGUAUUUUAGGUACACUCCUUUCUAAGAAAGACCCACUUCACUAAUCCUCUUGGGGACAAAGUGAUUAUGAAACAAAGAGUAAUAACGCAGGAAGACUAUGACGUUUUUCAUUUUGGGAAUCUCUCACAACAUCUUGGGAUUAAGCUGAAGUUAGGAAAGUUCAGCCCAUAUUUUUCACAUGGUCGACACUUUCACUUAUACAUAGACAUGAUUGAAGUGGCCACAGGAAGUAGAAAGAUGCCAUCCUCUGUGUGCAGUGCGGAAUGUAGUCCUGGAUUCAGAAGAUUGUGGAAGGAGGGAAUGGCAGCCUGCUGUUUUGUUUGCAGCCCCUGCCCUGAAAAUGAAAUUUCUAAUGAGACAAGUGAGUUUUUGCUGCUCUGAUAAAUACUACAAAUAUGGAUUUCUUUUGG